rnacentral:rRNA from 1 species
AUGGUUAGGAGUGUACCGAUUGGUGAGAAGCUCUUCAUAGGAGGAGACCUCAAUGGCCACGUGGGUACAUCUAACACAGGUUUUGAAGGGGCGCAUGGGGGCUUUGGCUAUGGCAUCAGGAAUCAAGAAGGAGAAGAUGUCUUAAGCUUUGCUCUAGCCUACAACAUGAUUGUAGCUAACACCCUCUUUAGAAAGAGAGAUUCACAUCUGGUGACUUUUAGUAGUGGCCAACACUCUAGCCAGAUUGAUUUCAUCCUCUCGAGAAGAGAAGAUAGGCGUGCGUGCCUAGACUGUAAGGUGAUACCUGGGGAGAGUGUUGUACCCCAGCAUAAGCUGGUGGUUGCUGACUUCCGCUUUCGGAUUUGUGUCCAGCGGGAUAAGCGUGCCAAGGUCGCUAGAACGAAGUGGUGGAAGCUCAAGGGGGAGGUAGCUCAGGUGUUCAAGGAGAGGGUAUUUAAGGAGGGCCCUUGGGAGGAAGGAGGGGAUGCGGACAAUGUGUGGAUGAAGAUGGCGACUUGCAUUCGUAAGGUGGCCUCGGAGGAGUUUGGAGUGUCCAGGGGAAGGAUAAGCGAAGAUAAGGAUACCUGGUGGUGGAAUGAUGAUGUCCAGAAGGCGCUUAAAGAGAAGAAAGAUUGCUUCAGACGCCUAUACCUGGAUAGGAGUGCAGACAAUAUAGAGAAGUACAAGAUGGCGAAGAAGGCCGCAAAGCGAGCUGUUGGUGAAGCAAGGGGUCGGGCAUAUGAGGACCUCUACCAACGGUUAGGCACGAAGGAAGGUGAAAGGGACAUCUAUAAGAUGGCUAAGAUCCGGGAGAGGAAGACGAGGGAUAUUGGCCAAGUCAAAUGCAUCAAGGACGGAGCAGGCCAACUCUUGGUGAAGGACGAAGAGAUUAAGCAUAGAUGGCGGGAGUACUUCGACAAGCUGUUCAAUGGGGAGAAUGAGAGUUCUACCAUUGAACUGAAUGACUCCUUUGAUGAGACCAGCAUGCGUUUUGUGCGGCGCAUCCAGGAGUCUGAGGUGAAGGAGGCUUUAAAAAGGAUGAAAGGAGGCAAGGCGAUGGUCCCUGAUUGUAUCCCCAUUGAGGUGUGGAAAGGUCUCGGGGACAUAGCGAUAGUAUGGCUAACCAAGCUUUUCAACCUCAUUUUUCGGGCAAACAAGAUGCCAGAAGAAUGGAGACGGAGUAUAUUAGUACCAAUCUUCAAGAACAAGGGGGAUGUUCAGAGUUGUACUAAUUACCAUGGAAUUAAGCUGAUGAGCCAUACAAUGAAGCUAUGGGAGAGAGUCAUUGAGCACCGCUUAAGAAGAAUGACAAGCGUGACCAAAAAUCAGUUUGGUUUCAUGCCUGGGAGGUCGACCAUGGAAGCCAUUUUCUUGGUACGACAACUUAUGGAGAGAUAUAGGGAGCAUAAGAAGGACUUGCAUAUGGUGUUCAUUGACUUGGAGAAGGCCUAUGAUAAGAUACCGCGGAAUGUCAUGUGGUGGGCCUUGGAGAAACACAAAGUCCCAGCAAAGUACAUUACCCUCAUCAAGGACAUGUACAAUAAUGUUGUGACAAGUGUUCGAACAAGUGAUGUCGACACCGAUGACUUCCCGAUUAAGAUAGGACUGCAUCAGGGGUCAGCUUUGAGCCCUUAUCUUUUUGCAUUGGUGAUGGAUGAGGUCACAAGGGGUAUACGAGGAGAUAUCCCAUGGUGUAUGCUCUUUGCGGAUGAUGUGGUGCUAGUUGACGAUAGUCGGACGGGGGUAAAUAGGAAGUUAGAGUUAUGGAGACAAACCUUAGAAUCGAAAGGGUUUAGGCUUAGUAGAACUAAAACCGAGUACAUGAUGUGCGGUUUCAGUACUAAUAGCUGUGAGGAGGAGGAGGUUAGCCUUGAUGGCCGGGUGGUACCUCGGAAGGACACCUUUCGGUAUUUGGGGUCAAUGUUGCAGGAGGAUGGGGGUAUUGAUGAAGAUGUGAACCAUCGAAUCAAAGCCGGAUGGAUGAAGUGGCGCCAAGCUUCUGGCAUUCUCUGUGACAAGAGAGUGCCACAAAAGCUAAAAGGCAAGUUCUACAGGACGGCGGUUCGACCCGCAAUGUUGUAUGGCGCGGAGUGUUGGCCGACUAAAAGGCGACAUGUUCAACAGUUAGGUGUGGCGGAGAUGCGUAUGUUGAGAUGGAUGUGUGGCCACACGAGGAAGGAUCGAGUCCGGAAUGAUGAUAUACGAGAUAGAGGUGGGGUAGCACCAAUUGAGGAGAAGCUUGUCCAACAUCGUUUGAGAUGGUUUGGGCAUAUUCAGCGCAGGCCUCCAGAAGCUCCAGUGCAUAGCGGACGGCUAAAGCGUGCGGAGAAUGUCAAGAGAGGGCGGGGUCGACCGAUUUUGACAUGGGAGGAGUCCGUUAAGAGAGACCUGAAGGAUUGGAGUAUCGACAAAGAGCUAGCUAUGGACAGGGGUGCGUGGAAGCUUGCUAUCCAUGUGCCAGAGCCAUGA